rnacentral:lncRNA from 1 species
AACGAAAUUCGGUUAGGAUACUGUGAUUGUCUUAGCAAUUUAAUUAGACUGUGUUUGUAAUUUUUGUAGAGUGAAAAAUUGAUAUGGAAAAUGAACAAAGAAUCAACUUGGAUGCCUCUGAAAAAAGUGAUGAAAGUGUUUGUGUGAGAGUUAGGACAGAAUCAGAAAAUAAUAGUGAUACAGCUGUUGAAUUAGAACCAAAUUCAACAGCAGCAGUUCAUGGUUGUAGUCGUGGCCGUGGUCGUGGCCGUAGGGGUAAUACUAAUCCUGUCACUUCACAAAAACGAGAUGGCGGUGGUAGAGCAGUCUCUGAUGCUUGGAAUCAUUUCAAAAAAGUUAAGUUGGGUGAGGAAGUUCAGGCAAUUUGCAAUUACUGUGGGUUAGUUAUGCAAGGACAUUAUUCGAGGGGUACUAAUCACUUAAUAAACCAUGCUAGACGUUGUCCUAGAAGGUCAUUUAAGAAUGUACAGCAAAUGCACCUAUCCUUUUCUUCUAAAGUUGAUGGAAGCACUUCACUUAGUAAUUUUAGUUCUGAGUCAAAAUGGGAUAUGGCUACAGUAAAGCUUUUUAUAGCUAGAAUGAUUGUAUUACAUGAGCUCCCAUUGGCAUUUGUUGAGUAUGUUGGGUUUUAUGACUUGUUGAAGCUACUCCAACCUUCUAUUGAGACUAUUAGUAGAAACACCAUCAAAGCUGAAAUUUUGAGGCUUUAUGAUGUUGAAAAGAAAAAGACAAUGGGUAUUUUGGAAGCUUGUGAGAGUAGAAUCGCAAUUACUACUGAUAUGUGGACUGCUAGUAACCAAAAAAAAGGAUACAUGGUUAUUACGGCACAUUACAUUGAUAGCUCAUGGGUGUUGCGAAGUCGUAUUAUGAGGUAAUAUUCUUGAAACUUUUUUUUCUGGUUUAAGCAUAAAUUAAUGUCCUGUCUAAUAUUUUAAUUAUUUUUUCACAUUGUUAGGUUUAUAUAUGUGCCAGCUCCACAUAGUGCUGAGGUAAUGUGUAAUGAGUUAUAUGAUUGUUUGAUGGAUUGGAAUAUAGAUAGAAAGUUGUCCUCUGUAACUGCUGAUAAUUGUGCUGCAAAUGAUUCUAUGAUUGCCUUGUUGGGGAAAUUUUCUACUAGUUCAAUGAUUAUGGGUGGCAAAUUCUUUCACAUGCGUUGUUGUGCUCAUAUAUUGAACUUGAUAGUUAGAGAUGGUUUGUCUGUGAUACAAAAGGGAGUUGGGAAAAUUAGAGAUAGUGUUCAUUAUUGGACAGCAACACCAGCUAGAGUUGAAAAAUUUGAGAAUGCAAAAAAACAAUUAGGUAUUAAGGAAACCAAAAACUUAGUACUUGAUUGUAAAACUAGAUGGAACUCUACUUACUUGAUGCUUAGUACUGCAUUAUUGUAUAAAGAAGUAUUUGAUCGUUUAAAGGAACGUGAAAGAAAUUAUACAUCUUUACCUAUUGAGUCAGAGUGGAAUUUGUCAAAACUUAUGUGUGAGUAUCUAAAAAACUUUUAUAAGUUGACAGAACUUUUUUCGGGGACACGAUAUCCGACAUCUAAUUUAUUUUUUGCCAAGAUUUGUGAAAUUAGAUUGUCAAUGAAUGCAUGGUUGCAAUCACCAAUUGAGGGGAUAAAAAAUAUGGCUACUAGGAUGAUUGUGAAGUAUGAAAAGUAUUGGGAUGUUAUUCAUGGAGUUCUUGCAGUGGGGACUAUGUUAGAUCCUAGGCGUAAAAUGUUACUGAUUAACUUUUUAUUUCCUAAAAUAUAUGGGGAAAAAGCUGAAUCUGAAAUUGAAAGAGUGCGUAAGUUAUUUGUUGAUUUAGUGCAUGAGUAUGAAGUAAAUCAUCUAUCAAAUUCAAGUGGGGGGGUUAAUGGUGCCAAUUCUCAAGCUGCUGCAGGAGGGGACUCUAAUAUGUUAGAUUUAGAUUUGGAUGAAAUGGCUGAUGAGUGGGCAUUAUUUAGAAAUGAAAACACACAGAAUACUCAUUCUAAAUCAGAAUUAGAGCUUUAUCUUGAGGAGGGUACUUUGCCUUCAACUAGUCAAUUUGACAUUUUGUCAUGGUGGAAGAAUAAUCAAGGCAAAUAUCUUGUACUUGCAAAGAUUGCAAGGGACUUUUUGGCUAUUCCUGUAUCAACAGUUGCUUCGGAGUCCGCUUUUAGCACUGGAGGUAGACAUUUGAGCCCUCAUCGUAGUAGACUUCACCCAUCCACAGUAGAGGCAUUGGUGUGCACUCAAAAUUGGUUUUGGCUUGAACAAAACUUAAAAGGUAUGAAAAUUUUAUUUAUUAGAAUCAAAUUAUUUGGUGUAUUAUUCUUAUUAUCAAUUUAUCACUAAUUGGUUGUGUUGCUCAUUACGUUUGUGAUUUACACAUUUUUUGUAGAUGGAAUUCCAGAGGAAGCAAUACUUUCUGCAUAGCAUUUGAUUGAUGAAAGUUGGAUGAGUGAGCAACAAUCAAAUGAAGUGGAUGAUUCAGAGUUUAGUCUUUAGCACUAGUGGCUGGAAAUUUGAGCUUUAAAUUGUGGAAUUAUGUUAUGGAUUUGUAUUUAUGGAUGUUUAUUACUUUAAAACUUUGAGUGUGUUGUAUUUGUUUUAGAAGUUGGAUGUGUUAUAUGUUUUUUUUUUUGCCCUUUGUCCAGCAAAUUUUGUUGAACCAAAGUGAAGUAACUUGGUUCUGGUAGUCUGGUUCUGGAUGUGAUAUAUGUUCUUUUUUUUGCCCUUUAUCCAGCAAAUUUUGUUGA